CUGGUUGAUCCUGCCAGUAUCAUAUGCUUGUCUCAAAGAUUAAGUCAUGCAAGUAUUUGUCACUUGUACUGUGAAACUGCGAAUGGCUCAUUAAAUCAGUUAUCGUUUAUUUGAUUGUACUCUCGUACUACUUGGAUAACCGUAGUAAUUCUAGAGCUAAUACAUGCGAAAAGUCCCGACUCUCGUGGGAAGGGAUGUAUUUAUUAGAUUAAAAACCAAUGCGGCUUAACGGCCGCUUACCCAUUUGGUGAUUCAUGGUAACUGUUCGAAUCGCAAGGCCUUCUCUGUUCGUGCCGGCGAUGUUUCGUUCAAAUUUCUGCCCUAUCAACUGUCGAUGGCAAGGUAGUGGCUUACCAUGGUUGCAACGGGUGACGGAGAAUUAGGGUUCGAUUCCGGAGAGGGAGCCUGAGAAACGGCUACCACUCCAAGGAAGGCAGCAGGCGCGCAAAUUACCCAAUCCUGACGUGGGGAGGUAGUGACAAAAAAUAACAAUACAGGGUUUUUUUGUAGUCUUGUAAUUGGAAUGAGUACAAUUUAAGAGCAGAUGUC